UAGGGAAUCUUCGGCAAUGGACGAAAGUCUGACCGAGCAACGCCGCGUGAGUGAAGAAGGUUUUUGGAUCGUAAAACUCUGUUGUUAGAGAAGAACAAGGACGUUAGUAACUGAACGUCCCCUGACGGUAUCUAACCAGAAAGCCACGGCUAACUACGUGCCAGCAGCCGCGGUAAUACGUAGGUGGCGAGCGUUGUCCGGAUUUAUUGGGCGUAAAGCGAGCGCAGGCGGUUUCUUAAGUCUGAUGUGAAAGCCCCCGGCUCAACCGGGGAGGGUCAUUGGAAACUGGGGGACGUGAGUGCAGAAGAGGGGAGGGGAAUUCCAUGUGGAGCGGUGAAAUGCGUAGAUAUAGGGAGGAACACGAGUGGCGAGGGCGGCUCUCUGGUCUGUAACUGACGCUGAGGCUAGAGGCGGGGGGAGCAAACAGG
rnacentral:rRNA from 1 species